GACGAACGCUGGCGGCGUGCCUAAUACAUGCAAGUAGAACGCUGAAGCGAGGAGCUUGCUCUUCUUGGAUGAGUUGCGAACGGGUGAGUAACGCGUAGGUAACCUGCCUUGUAGCGGGGGAUAACUAUUGGAAACGAUAGCUAAUACCGCAUAACAAUGGAUGACACAUGUCAUUUAUUUGAAAGGGGCAAUUGCUCCACUACAAGAUGGACCUGCGUUGUAUUAGCUAGUAGGUGAGGUAACGGCUCACCUAGGCGACGAUACAUAGCCGACCUGAGAGGGUGAUCGGCCACACUGGGACUGAGACACGGCCCAGACUCCUACGGGAGGCAGCAGUAGGGAAUCUUCGGCAAUGGGGGCAACCCUGACCGAGCAACGCCGCGUGAGUGAAGAAGGUUUUCGGAUCGUAAAGCUCUGUUGUAAGUCAAGAACGAGUGUGAGAGUGGAAAGUUCACACUGUGACGGUAGCUUACCAGAAAAGGACGGCUAACUACGU
rnacentral:rRNA from 1 species